GUGCAAUGGUACAUAUUUGCUUCUGAAUCCUUUCUCAAAGGCACUAUUUAAACAUGUUGAUGAACUGAACUGCAUUUCUCCCCACCUCCAUUUGAGCAAAACAAGGAGACUCAGAAGAUAAAAUAUGCUUUGUUUUUGCAAGUAGCAUAAUGUGGUACAGCAUUAAAUACGAGAUGUGAACUCACCAUGGCAACCCCUGCAUCACAUUGCAGAUAUGCUGCUUCUAAGCUACGGCAGAUGUUUCUGAAGAAAUACACAUGAAUAUUAGGGAGACACUGAUGGAAAUACAACGCUUUGGAGUUAAGCACGAAGACGCAACUCCACAGUGCUACCUAACGCCCCUGAAGGAUGCCUAACGUCCUUCAGGAAUGAGACAUCGUGGUGGGAUUCGGGUGCUUGGGCACGCUUGGAGACACGGGCCUGCAGCUCCCCUUCGAAGACUUGCAGAUAGCCCCACCUCUACUUUUGGGGAGCUGCUGAUUUGUAGCAAUAUCAGCUGCCUAAUCCUGAUGCCUGGCAAGGUGGGUCUGCACCUACUGCUUGUGUGCAUGCUGCAGGGUGCUCUGAUAGGGCUGUGCCUGGUCUUCUCUGUCAUAAAACUCCCAGAGAGCGUAACUGAGAUCUGGAAGCAAAGCUCAAUAAUUAUUUACUUUAGCUAACAGGAUAGAUUUAACAGAAGAGAAACUGAGCCACGAGUGAUGUGUGCUGGCAUUUACAAUUCCUUUGCCUGACAAAUCUACUUUGAAAUCUGAUGCUUUGUGAAAGUCGGUGCAAUUUGUGAAAACUGUCCAUUUUUGCUAAGGUCUAAGAGUUUGAGAGAAAUGAGAAAGCAGGCAGGUCUGUGUGGCCAGAGUAAUCCCUGUGGGAUACUGGUAUGUGCUUUGGUGGCCAGUGGAAAUUUGUGAACUGCACUGCGAGACAUUGCACUGUAUAUCUUGUGCUGUUGAACACUUGAACAGGACAGAGCUCAUGCAGCAGUGUUUGAUAUAUAGCAGAAUUAGAUGUAGUUUUGGUUUCCUCACCAGAUUCCCAUAAGCUCUGUUUCGUUAGGUUUAAAGAAGUCAAAAUAUAAUGGAACAUAAUUUUUGAUCUUAUAUGUCAUUUGACCCACUGGAUACGUAUUGAUGUACACUAAGAGAAAAGGAAGACAAUUACAAAGCCAGAAAAUUAAUACAUCCCCUAAACAAAGCUGAGAUUUAUGCAGAUUUUUUUUAAAAGGAAAAGUAAUGCUUGUGAUUGCUUUGGAUGGUAUGAUGCACCUUUUCUUAACGUAUUUUCAUAGACUGCUUCUUCAAAACUGUGGUUGAGACUUCAUUUUAAUAAUCAGAGCAAUCUGAAUGUGUACUUGUUUCUGCCCGAGGCAUAAAAGUUUGCAUUUUGAUAACAUUUGCACAUUAUAGAAAACGCACCUGUGACAAUGAACUCCGCUAAAGCCCUGCCUUCACACCCCAAAAGAAAAAUAACCGAACAGGUAAUUUAUUAUUAAAAGUCGAACCUAACACACAGAAGUAUAGAUGUUCAGAGUUAAUACAGCUUUUUUUCCUCGCUUACCUCAUCAUGGUUGUUUAUGGAUUACAGCAUCUGCUGUAGAUUAUGUAAGAUCUGUUGCAAAAGCUUGCUGCAUCUGAUGAAUAAGGGCAAAGUCUGAGUUUAAUUUUGAAUUUUCAGAGUUUAGUGAAUUCUGCUGUAACCUCCUCCAUCAUCUUAUUGCUUCAGCAGGUACAAUUGCAAAUGGUGUCUUUCUAUGAUUAAUGGCAAAACUACUGCCUCUUAGUGCCUUGAGGUUGUAACCCUAUGUGUUAGGAGCUGUGCAAAUGUAAUCAAAGGACGUUCCUUAUGCCAGAGUCCUAAAAUGAAAAUACUAGUUCAAAGAAAAUUAUCCUUUUGAAGGGAUGAAUUGCUACGCUACAUCAUUAGAAAUGACAUUGGCUUUUUAUGAGAUGUUAAAGUCAUUUAAAUUAGAAGAAUGGUCUUCAGAAUCCAAAUUCUAUCCUUAGCUCAAUUUUUAAUAUUCAAACUACACCCAUAUCCAUUUUGAAAUCACACAAACCAGUCAGCAAUCAGAAAGCUUAAUCCCGUUCAAUUUAUCCAGAUGAGUGGUCUCACUGGGGUUAGCU